AGGGGAACCACCGUGCCCCCUAAAUCCUCCCCCUCAAACAUCUUUUUUAACACUCUAAAAUUAGCCAGCUAACCCCACUACAACAACUUCAUCAAAAAUUUAAAUAAUAAAUACUUAUCAAAUUUACAUUUCUGUCUGUCUUUUAGGGAACUGUUCUCUGUUUUUAAGCUCACUUUUGAUUUUUGCUAUUUGCUCUUGACACUUCUAUUUUUCCUUUUUUCUUCCCCUUCCCUUUUUGCAAUCCACUUUUGUUCUUCUUUUAUUUUUUUAUUUUUUCAUUGUUUUAUAUUAUAUUAUUUUAUUUUAUUUUGUUUUAGGGUUCCUGUGCUUUUGUUUUUCUUCGCCCCUCCCCUCUUUUUUCUUAGGAAGGACUGACUCCUGAGGUUCUCAUGCCAGGAAAAAUGUACCUCCCUCACUCACGGUUUUACCCACAAGCCUUUGCUGCAACAGGGAGAUUGAUUCCCAAGGCUCUCAUGCCAGAAAGGAAGUACCUCACUCACUCACGGUUUUGCCCACAAUCCUUUGCUGUAACAGGAAGAUUUGCUGCGUCCGAACUGCCCGCUCGGAUACUACAUGCUACUGCUACGUGCUACUGCUAGAUCCUACUCCUACAUAUUAAAAACGUUGGCCCAAUUCGGACACACUAGACGAGCGGUGGGGAAAGACGACCCCCGCAGGCAGAGAGUAGGUACUGCGCCCGUGCAGACAGUGGUAACUGAAGCUCCUCAUCUGCGGGCCUGGCUGUAGUACUGCAGCUGUGCAGUUUAAUGAUGGAAUAAGUGAGCUUUACCUCCAUGAUGUCGCCACAUAUUUGCUCAUAAAAUGAUUACUUGGGCAAAUAUGACACCAUGACAUGACAAAGAGAUACAACCGCACAUUUUUUAGGACAGUGUGUGAAGUUACAUGAAACUUACAUCUGUACUGCUGCGGUCCCGCCUGCUGCUGCUGCUGCUCCGACAUGGUGCGCGCUGCUGUGGCCAGCCGGCGUUCGCGACACUUAAAUAGGCAGAGCAGCUGGUGGCGCUAGCAUCACAUGCGCUUCUACAACUUUUAAGAGGACGAAGAAGAAGCCCGCGGUGCAUUUUGGGUCAGUAGCAUGCCCGUAGGAUGCACCGAGACCAACCUACAAUGUGGGCGUGUCUAGCAUCUGAAGUAGUAUCUGAAGUAGCAUGCUACUCGCUCCGGUGGCCAAUUCGGACAUGCUAGAUACUACUUCGACUACUACUUCGACUACUACUUGGCAAUUCGGAAGCAGCUAUUGAUUCCUUAGGCUCUCAUCCCUCAGAACUAAAAUACCCACAAUCCCUUGCGAUUGCAUACAAAUUUAAUGUAGCAAAACUUAAUUUAAAACAAAUAAACCACUUUAAAAUUAACUAAAAACAACUUGAAAGUUUAAAAAUCAACCAAGAGAAAUCCAUUCUGGAGAACAAACAUCGAGAAGAGAACACAACCAUGUCUGAGAGGAACAAAACAAACCAUGACUCGAGCCCCACUCUGGGGAUGUCUGGUCAUGUUAAAAGCACUUUUAAGUGCUGUACACUCAAGAUCAAUUCCUGUUCCUGUAAUUGAGACAAAGCCCUGACCACUGGACCAAGAAGACGCCGCUCCGCCUUGAGUAAGACGCCGCACCUCCUUCACUCCAAGCCGGCCACCACCGAGCUUCGACCCGCCGAAGGCACCGAGUCCCAGCAAACCUUCCCGCGGACCGCCUAUCUCCUUUCCCCCGCCGAGGACCAUGGACCUCAGACACACCGCCGCCGCCGCGGCUGGACAGCUGGAACCUUUUCCCCCCUCCAACAGAUUUUAGACUACUGGAAAAGAAACGCCUCACAUCAACAACAACAUAGGACCACUAGGGUAAGUCUACAAAAAACCUCUUAAACACCUCAAAAUUACUCUUAAUAGUUACAGAAUAGUAACUACCAAACUAGAAUACAACUAAAACUUCACAGCACCAAAACUAAAUAGGACUAAAAUAGCUCCAAUUGGCUACAGGGCACAACACGGAAGUUGAUCGACUCCGUGGGGCCUUCCUUGAAAGAGGAUAUCUAGUGUUAAAACGGCCGAAACAUCCGAUGAUUUCGGGGUUCACUACUGAAGACAUGUCCUGAAAUUUAAUGUCCAAUACCAGCGCUGGGUCAAUGUAAUGGUUUAUUUGAAGAAUUUUUCAAACAAAUAAGAUUUUCCAAAAUAAUUAAUUGAGCACUUAACUCGACACAAUCUGGUCCUCUGGUCUUCUAUUUUGAGUGUUGGUUUAUCCUGGUGCAUGAAUAAAGGUCCAUAAAACCCGCACCUUUUAUGGUUUACUUUAAUUUCUACUCUAACAUAGCAUUUCAGCAUUUGUCCAUUUACCAAACUCGUAUUUCCCACCUCUUGAUCCCAGGGUCCAGUUUUUUACAGUUUCCUUUUUUCACCUUUUCGUUUUUGCCACUCUCGUAUUUCCCACUUUCUAAUUUGGUAAACAUUGUACAUUCCAUGUUUUAUCCCAGUUUUUAUUUUUUAUUUUUUAUUCUUAGUUCUAUUUUUAUUUUCCUAUUAAUUUCCCCCUACCUGUAUAUUGUACCUUUUUUGAACAAAUAAAAAAUGUUUUGGAACAACUAUACACUCAAUUUUUAUUCCACCUUUUUUUCUCAUACUAAUUUACUUUAUAAUUCAAUUUUGUGUAUUUAUAUCACAUUUUUUUUAUUAUUUAAAUUUGCAAUUUAAAUAUAAUACAUUUGGUUCCAGUGCAAUCAAAAUUACAGUUUUCCUUUGUUAUACAGAAGUCAACACAAUUUUCUCUCAGUUUUACUGUAAUAUCAAUUCAAUGUUGGGUGUAACUUUAACAGUUCCUGUUUGUACUUUUUAACAAAUUAAACAGUGUAGAAAGGGAUGACACAAUUUUAUACAACAUUCUAAUUUACACCCGUAAGCAACAAUUUGGGAGCUAACCUUACUUAUUAAACUCAAAAUUGUUUAACUCAUGGAUUACAACUUUAGAAUAGUCCAAUACCUAAAUAAACUACAAUUCCUACUCACUUUCUAACUCUGAAAUAAUAAUUUACAGUGAACCCUAGGUCCUAUAUAGUCUAUAUAAACAAUCUCCACUUAACUCCAAACUUAUCCAUCUAAAACAAUGCAAUCUUCUGAAAAGUCGAUACUCUGGACCAAUAAUUCUAUUUAUUGAUCUAAAAUUAAUAAUAUAACAAAAUUAAAUUAUGCAAUUAUUAAUGAAAUUGACACUUUUGACUGAAAUAAUAAUUUCCAAAUAAUAAUUUAUAACUAACCAUUAAGAUUUAUUUUAGAUCACAGCGUUAGGGAGUUCAGCAGAGUCUAUGGCCUAGACAGGCCUGAGUAGAAGGGGUUCCAGACAGAACCAUCCACUUUUGACUCUGAAUAAUACUUUAUAAAUAAUAAUUCAUAAAUAUUUCCGAUUUAAUCUAAAAUCAUUUUAGGUCACAGCGUUAAGGACUUUAGCAGAGUCUAUGGCCUAGACAGGCCUGAGUGGAAGGGGUUCCAGACAGAACCGUCCACUUUUGACUCUGAAUAAUAAUUUAUAAAUAAUAAUUCAUAAAUAUUUCCGAUUUAAUCUAAAAUAAUCUUAGGUCACAGCGUUAGGGAUUUUAGCCGAGUCUUUGGCCUAGACAGGCCUGAGUGGAAGGGGUUCCAGACAGAACCGUCCACUUUUGACUCUGAAUAAUGAUUUAUAAAGAAUAAUUUAUAAAUAUUUCCAAUUUAAUCUAAAAUAAUUUUAGGUCACAGCCUUGAGGGAGCUUAGCAGAGUCUAAAGCCUAGACAGGCCUGAGUGGAAGGGCUUCCAGACAGAACCAUCCACUUUUGACUCUGAAAUAAGAAAUAAUAUAUUUUGAAAUAAUUUUGAAAUAAUUUAUAAAUAUUGGCAAUUUAAUCUUAAAUAAUUUUUAAUCAUAGCCUUGAGGGAGCUUAGCAGAGUCUAUGGCCUAGACAGGCCUGAAUGGAAGGGGUUUCAGACAGAACCAUUCACUUUUGUUCUGAACAAUAAUACUUUAUAAAUAACAAUAAAUAAAUAUCUCCGAUUUAAUCUAAAAUAAUUUUAGGUCACAGUGUUAGGGAGGUUAGCAGAGUCUAUGACCUAGACAGGCCUGAGUGGAAGGGUUUCAGACAGAACCAUCCACUUUUGACUCUGAAAUAAGAAAUAAUAAAUUUUGAAAUAAUUUCUAAAUACUAAUUUAUAAAUAUUUGCAAUUUAAUCUAAAAUAGUUUUAGGUCACAGCGUUAGGGAGCUUAGCAGAGUCUAUGGCCUAGACAGGCCUGGGUGGAAGGGGUUCCAGACAGAACCAUCCACUUUUGACUCUGAAUAAUAAUUUAUAAAGAAUAAUUUAUAAAUAUUUCAAAUUUAAUCUAAAAUAAUUUUAGGUCACAGCAUUAGGGAGUCUAGCAGAGUCUAAAGCCUACACAGGCCUGAGUGGAAGGGGUUCAAGACAGAACUGUCCACUUUUGACUCUGAAUAAUAAUUUCUAAAUAAUAAUUCAUAAAUUUUUCCAAUUUAAUCUAAAGAAUUUUUAGGUCACAGCGUGUGGAGUUUAGCAGAGUCUAUGGCCUAGACAGGCCUGGGUGGAAGGAGUUCCAGACGGAACUGUCCACUUUUGACUCUGAAAUAAUACUUUAUCAAUAACAAUGUAUUACUAACCUUAUAUUUUAUACUUCAAUUUCAUGACUUCCAACAAUAGCUUUGCUACCUUUAACAGAGUCCAGAGUCUAGACAAUCUGAAGUGUCGUAUUCCUUAAUGAAUUUCAAUUCUUCCAAAUAGCCACGGUUAGCUCCCUACAGACACUAACCCUUACCCUCACCCUAACCCUAACCCUCCAGAACCUAAAUCUACCCCUAACCCUAUCCCCUACCCCUACCCCUAACCCUAGCCUACCCCUAACCCUAACCUCUAAACCCUAAAUCUAACCCUAACCCCCAACACUAACCCUAACCCCUAACACUAACCCUACCCCUAACCCUAACCCUUACCUCUAAACCCUAAAUCUAACCCUAACCCCGAACCCUAACCCUAACCCUAACCUUACUAAUCUCUAACUUGGCGUAGUCACCCCCACCCUCUUUUUUCAUAUCAGAGGAUGAAAACCAACAGGUGAGGAGAGUUUCUCUGGCUAGUCACUGUGGCAAGUUCUAUUCUCUCUCUAUCACUCGAAUCCCUGUAGAAGCAGAAUGGUUGCAGUCCCAACAACCUGUUUCUCUCUCCCCCAUCCUCUGAGACUUUGCACUAAUGCACCAUAACCCUACUCCUAUAGAUAAAAUUCACCCUAUUCCCUCCCUACUAACACCACCUAGUCCUUCUCAAUAAGAAAAAUUAUUAUUAAUAUUAUUAUUAUUAUUAUUUUAACACUUAACCAUACCAACUCUAAUCCCUAACUGAACCUCCAAAAAUAAUUGCUCUACAAACUUUUGUGAAAAGUACGGUUAAAGGGCUAUUUCACAUUUUUUGCCGGUCCGCACACAUUGGAAUGUGGCUAACUCCUCUGAAGGCUUUCGUUCCACCGGCACCAAAUUUGCUCAGGCCAAUCUACACCCCAUGGCCAUUAAAAGUUGUACAAAUCAUGACGCUGCACCCUACGGUUUAAGUUCUAGGGGGCGCCAAAAAAACCCAAAUCUAAUCAGCCAAUCACAUGGCGGCAACUUAGUGCAUUUAGGCAUGUAGACAUGGUCAAGACAAUCUCCUGCAGUUCAAACCGAGCAUCAGUAUGGGGAAGAAAGGUGAUUUGAGUGACUUUGAACGUGGCAUGGUUGUUGGUGCCAGAAGGGCUGGUCUGAGUAUUUCAGAAACUGCUGAUCUACUGGGAUUUUCACGCACAACCAUCUCUAGGGUUUACAGAGAAUGGUCCGAAAAAGAAAAAAUAUCCAGUGAGCGGCAGUUCUGUGGGCGGAAAUGCCUUGUUGAUGCCAGAGGUCAGAGGAGAAUGGCCAGACUGGUUCGAGCUGAUAGAAAGGCAACAGUGACUCAAAUAACCACCCGUUACAACCAAGGUAGGCAGAAGAGCAUCUCUGAACGCACAGUACGUCGAACUUUGAGGCAGAUGGGCUACAGCAGCAGUAGACCACACCGGGUGCCACUCCUUUCAGCUAAGAACAGGAAACUGAGGCUACAAUUUGCACAAGCUCGUCGAAAUUGGACAAUAGAAGAUUGGAAAAACGUUGCCUGGUUUGAUGAGUCUCGAUUUCUGCUGCGACAUUCGGAUGGUAGGGUCAGAAUUUGGCGUCAACAACAUGAUAGUAUGGAUCCAUCCUGCCUUGUAUCAACGGUUCAGGCUGGUGGUGGUGGUGUCAUGGUGUGGGGAAUAUUUUCUUGGCACUUUUUGGGCCCCUUGGUACCAAUUGAGCAUCGUUGCAACGCCACAGCCUACCUGAGUAUUGUUGCUGACCAUGUUCAUCCCUUUAUGACCACAAUGUACCCGACUUCUGAUGGCUACUUUCAGCAGGAUAAUGCGCCAUGUCAUAAAGCUGGAAUCAUCUCAGACUGGUUUCUUGAACAUGACACUGAGUUCACUGUACUCAAAUGGCCUCCACAGUCACCAGAUCUCAAUCCAAUAGAGCAUCUUUGGGAUGUGGUGGAACGGGAGAUUCGCAUCAUGGAUGUGCAGCCGACAAAUCUGUGGCAACUGUGUGAUGCCAUCAUGUCAAUAUGGACCAAGCUCUCUGAGGAAUGCUUCCAGCACCUUGUUGAAUCUAUGCCACGAAGAAUUGAGGCAGUUCUGAAGGCAAAAGGGGGUCCAACCCGUUACUAGCAUGGUGUACCUAAUAAAGUGGCCGGUGAGUGUAUACCCCAUGGCCAUUCAAAGUUGUACAAAUCAUGACGCUGCACCCCACGGUUUACAUUCUAGGGGGCGCCAAAGAUGACCCAAAAAUCCACAUUCUUCAAAGUCUUAUAACUUUUUAUUUUUGUCCUCACUGGCCUCCAAGUUUUCUAGGAUGAUGCAAUGUCCAGCCAUCAACACAUGUGUGAAGGAAUUUUUACUCCCUAAAAGAGUGCCCCCCCCCCCCCCCCCAUGGCAGGAGAAAAAAGUCCAUUUUUUCUUUACCCCAAGGUAAAAAUACACAUUGUUGAGUGUCACGCCUGUGCGCUUUGUCAUAUUGACACAAAAUUUGACAAUCAUGUGUAGCUCAAUAAGAUCUACGAAAAAGUCAAUGCGCACGUAUCUGUAAAAUGUACGGUUAAUGGGCUAUUUCGCAUUUUUUGCCGAUUCGCACACAUUGGAAUGUGGCUAACUCCUCUUAAGGCUUUCGUCCCACCGACACCAAAUUUGCUCAGGCCAAUCUACACCCCAUGGCCAUUCAAAGUUGUACAAAUCGUGAUGCUGCACCCCACGGUUUACGUCCUAGGGGGCGCCAAAGAUGACCCAAAUAUCCACAUGCUUAAAAGUCUUCUAACUUUUUAUUUUUGUCCUCACUGGCCUCCAAGUUUUCUAGGAUGAUUCAAUGUCCAGCCAUCAACACAUUUGUGAAGGAAUUUUUUCUCCCUAAAAGAUGAGUGUGUCAUUGUGUAAGAAAAGAAAGUGGUUUACUUACACAUCCAUAGAAAAUAGGUGGUUGAGCACAUUACGCAAACAAAGCUUUGCCACGACGGUGGAACUUCCCAAGUAGCCGAUACCAAGGUCACACAAUCAUGGUGAGCAAAGGUCAAACCAGGCCAGGCACUCAUGAGGCUGGCUGUGGCAAGUGUAAGUGAAAGCAACACGCAAUGGCCGGAAGAACAGCAAACGCCGAUGAAGGAAAAGGGUCUUUGCAGUGAUGGGUGUUACCAGAGAGGGCGAUGGCCAGAGGACGCGAAUGGGACGGGGAGGCGAUUGCGUUGGGGGGGGGUGCGCGACACGGCUCGGGCCCUAGUCUUUCUUUCUUUAGGGCCCGAGCCAGCUGCAGAGCAGCCGGGCGUAGAGCCCUGUUGUUCCUGUAGUGGUUUUUCUUUGUUUCUUUUUCUUUCUUCUUUUUCCUCCCCUUUGAACUGGAAAAUGGCCCACUUCCCACUGGCAAAAACUCAGGAAAUUUGGCAGGACGACCGGGCCUGGUGAAAAAUUCGAUAUUCUGAAGUCGCCCAAACAACAAAAUGCGAAAUGGCUCCAUAGCGCCCCCUAAGGUGUAAAUUCACACUAUUGACUGUCACGCCUGUACGCUUUGUCAUAUUGACACAAAAAUUGACACACACAUGUAUCUCAAUAAGAUCUACAAAAAAGUCAGUGCGGGCGUAUUUGUCAAAUGUACGGUUAAAGGGUUAUUUCGCAUUUUUUGCCGAUCCGCACACAUUGGAAUUUCGCUAACUCCUCCGAAGGCUUUCGUUCCACCGGCACCACAUUUGCUCAGGCCAAUCUACACCCCAUGGCCAUUAAAAGUUAUUCAAAUCAUGAUGCUGCACCCCACGGUUUAGGUUCUAGGGGGCGCCAAAAAUAACCCAAAAAUCCACAUUUUUAAAAGUCUUAUAACUUUUCAUUUUUGUCCUCACUGGCCUCCAAGUUUUCUAGGAUGAUGCAAUUUCCAGCCAUCAACACAUUUGUGAAGGAAUUUUUACUCCCCAAAAGAGCGCCCCCCCAUGGCAGGAGAAAAAAGUCCAUUUUUUCUUGUCCCCUAAGGUGAAAAUACACAUUGUUGAGAGUCACGCCUGUACGCUUUGUCAUAUUGACACAAAAAUUGACACACACAUGUAUCUCAAUAAGAUCUACAAAAAAGUCUAUGCGCGCGUAUCUGUCAAAUGUACGGUUAAAGGGUUAUUCCGCAUUUUUUGCCGAUACGCACACAUUGGAAUUUCGCUAACUCCUCCGAAGGCUGGCGUUCCACCGGCACCACAUUUGCUCAGGCCAAAUUACACCCCAUGGCCAUUAAAAGUUAUUCAAAUCAUGAUGCUGCACCCCACGGUUUAGGUUCUAGGGGGCGCCAAAGAUAACCCAAAAAUCCACAUUUUUAAAAGUCAUAACUUUUCAUUUUUGUCCUCACUGGCCUCCAAGUUUUCUAGGAUGAUGCAAUGUCCAGCCAUCAACACAUUUGUGAAGGAAUUUUUACUCCCCAAAAGAGCUCCCCCCCAUGGCAGGAGAAAAAAGUCAAUUUUUUCUUGUCCCCUAAGGUGAAAAUACACAUUGUUGAGUGUCACGCCUGUACGCUUUGUCAAAAUGACACAAAAAUUGACACACACAUGUAUCUCAAUAAGAUCUACGAAAAAGUCAAUGCGCGCAUAUCUGUCAAAUGUACGAUUAAAGGGUUAUUCCGCAUUUUUUGCCGAUCCGCACACAUUGGAAUGUGGCUAACUCCUCCGAAGGCUUUUGUUCCACCGGCACCACAUUUCCUCAGACCAAUCUACACCCCAUGGCCAUUAAAAGUUAUUCAAAUUAUGACGCUGCACCCCACGGUUUAGGUUCUAGGGGGCGCCAAAGAUAACCCAAAAAUCCACAUUUUUAAAAGUCUUAUAACUUUUCAUUUUUGUCCUCACUGGCUUCCAGGUUUUCUAGGAUGAUGCAAUGUCCAGCCAUCAACACAUUUGUGAAGGAAUUUUUACUCCCUAAAAGAGUGCCCCCCCAUGGCAGGAGAAAAAGUCAAGUUUUUCCGGCCCAUCGCUCAAUGGCUCAAUCGCAUCGCCCUCCCGGCAACACCGUAAGGAGGAGCAACCUGCCAUUUGGAUAUAUCCUAGCUGUGUUUGUGCCCUCACUCAUGGUCCAGACUUUUUUCAAAUAGGACAUGUAGUUUGUCUGCAGCGAGUGUUUUGGUAGAAACUGCGCCUCCCAUUCAUUAUAAUGGGAAAUGACCACAGACAAGUGCGCACACCAUCUUUGGACCUUGAGUGUGACGCGAUCGGGAGGGGGAGGCGGUCGUGCUGGGGGCGGCGCGCAAGGCUCGGGCCCGCCAGUGCCCCACCGGGGCCCUAGUUCUUUCUUUCUUUUUUUCUUUUUCUUAUUUUUCCUCCCCUUUGAAGGGGAAAAUGGCCCACUUCCCACUGGCGAAAACUCAUGAAAUUUGGCAGGACGACCGGGCCUGGUAAAAAAUUCGAUAUUCUGAAGUCGCUGAAAAAAUUAUUUGCAAAAUGGCUCCAAAGCGCCCCCUAAGGUGAAAAUUCACACUAUCGAGUGUCACACCUGUACGCUUUGUCAUAUUGACACAAAAAUUGACACACACGUGUAUCUCAAUAAGGUCUACAAAAAAAGUCAGUAUAGGCGUAUCUGUGAAAUGUACGGUUAAAGGGCUAUUUUGCAUUUUUUGCCGAUCCGCACACAUUGGAAUGUGGCUAACUCCUCCGAAGGCCUUCGUUCCACCGGCACCAAAUUUGCUCAGGCCAAUCUACUCCCCAUGGCCAUUCAAAGUUGUACAAAUCAUGACGCUGCACCCCACGGUUUAGGUUCUAGCGGGCGCCAAAGAUAACCCAAAAAUCCACAUUCUUAAAAGUCUUCUAACUUUUUAUUUUACUCCUCACUGGCCUCCAAGUUUUCUAGGAUGAUGCAAUGUCCAGCCAUCAACACAUUUUUGAGGGAAUUUUUUCUCGCCAAAAGAGCGCCCCCCCAUGGCAGGAGAAAAAAGGCAAUUUUUUCUUGUCACCUAAGGUGAAAAUACACAUUGUUGAGUGUCACGCCUGUGCGCUUUGUCAUAUUGACACAAAAUUUGACAAUCACGUGUAUCUCAAUAAGAUCUACGAAAAACUCAAUGCGCGCGUAUCUGUCAAUUGUACGGUUAAAGGACUAUUUCGCAUUUUUUGCCGAUUCACACACAUUGGAAUGUGGCUAACUCCUAAGGCUUUCGUCCCACCGACACCAAAUUUGCUCAGGCCAAUCUACAUCCCAUGGCCAUUCAAAGUUGUACAAAUCAUGACGCUGAACCCCACGGUUUACGUUCUAGGGGGCGCCAAAGAUGACCCAAAAAUACACAUGAUUACAAAUCGUUUUGGCCAUUGAGUGGCGCCAAAGGGAGUUGUCUAUUAACAGCAGACAAAGUAGUUAUGGCCACUGAGUGGCGCCAAAGGAGUUGUCUAUUAAAACUGAUACUACAGAAAAAGUUAAAAGGCUCAUAAAGGGUUAAAAAAAAUAUCUUCAAUGAAACAUUUGCUAGUUUUGAACAGGGCAGAAGUAAAAUAAGAGAUGUACAAAAAAAAUCUGGAAAAAAUCCAAUUUGAUUUUACAGCAGACAAAGAAGUUUUGGCCACUCAUCCAAGUUUUCUAGGAUGAUGCAAUGUUCAGCCAUCAAAACAUUUGUGAAGUAAUUUUUUUCUCACCAAAAGAGCGCCCCCCCAAGGCAGGAGAAAAAGUCAAGUUUUUCCUGCCCAUCGCUCAAUGGCUCAAACACACCGCUCUCUCUGCAAAACCGAAAGGAGGAGCAACUUGCCAUUUGGAUAUAUACUAGCUGUGUUUGUGCCCUCACUCAUGGUCCAGACUUUUUUCAUAUAGGUCAUGAAGUUUGUCUGCAGCAAGUGUUUUGGUAGAAACUGCGCCUCCCAUUCAUUAUCAUGGUAAAUGACCACAGACAAGUGCGCACACCAUCUUUGGACCUUGAUAUAUUUUUGCAAUCCAAAUAUUUUUUAUUUCAUUUUUCUUUUUUUUUUGGUCUAACUAACUCAAAAAGCUUGGAAAAGAGUUCCUACAAAGGUUUUGGACAGUGAUUUUAACCCUAAUGCCAAAAACCUUAAACCUUACCAUAGCCCCAUAACCUAAUACCCGGGUAUUACCUUCAGGAAGCUCGAACACCCCAAAUAUUUCUUUUUCAUUUUUCGUUUUUUUUUGGUGUAACCAUCUCCAAAAGGUUGGAAACAUGUUCCUACAAAGGUUUUGGACAGUGAUUUUAACCCUAAUCCAAAAACCUUAACCAUUACCAUAGCCCCAUAACCUAAUACCGGGGUAUUACCUUCAGGAAGCCUGAACACCCCAAAUAUUUUUUUUUCAUUUUACAUUUUUUUUUGGUGUAACUGACUCCAAAAGGUUGGAAAAGAGUUCCUACAAAGGCUUUGGACAGUGAUUUUAACCCUCACGCCAAAAACCUUAAACCUUACCUUAGCCCCAAAACCUAAUACCCGGGUAUUACCUUCAGGAAGCUCGAACACCCCAAAUAUUUCUUUUUCAUUUUUCGUUUUUUUUUGGUGUUACCAUCUCCAAAAGGUUGGAAACAUGUUCCUACAAAGGUUUUGGACAGUGAUUUUAACCCUAACGCCAAAAACCUUAAACCUUUCCAAAGCCCCAGAAACUGAUUCCCGGGUAUUGCCUUCAGGAAGCCCGAAAACCCCAAAUAUUUUUUUUUCAUUUUUCAUUUUUUUUUGGUCUAACUAACUCCAAAAGGUUGGAAAAGAGUUCCUACAAAGGUUUUGGACAAUAAUUUUAACCCUAACGCCAAAAAACUGAACCCUUACCAUAGCCCCAUAACCUAAUACCUUCAGGAAGCCCGAACACCCCAAAUAUUUUUUUUUCAUUUUACAUUUUUUUUUGGUGUAACCAACUCCAAAAGGUCUGAAACAUGUUCCUAAAAAGAUUUUGGACAGUUAGUUUAACCCUAUCGCCAAAAACCUUAAACCUUACCAUAGCCCAAUAACCUAAUACCCGGGUAUUACCUCCAGGAAGCCUGAAAACCCAGAAUAUUUUUUUUUUCAUUUUUCUUUUUUUUUGGUCUAACUGACUCCAAAAGGUUGGAAAAGAGUUCCUACAAAGGUUUUGGACAGUGAUUUUAACCGUAACGCCAAAAACCUUAAACUUUUCCUAAGCCCCAUAACCUAAUACCCGGGUAUUACCUUCAGGAAGCCUGAACACCCCAAAUAUUUUUUAUUUCAUUUUCAAUUUUUUUUUGGUCUAACUAACUCCGAAAUGAUGGAAAAGAGUUCCUACAAAGGUUUUGGAUAGUGAUUUUAACCCUAAUGCCAAGAACCCUAAAACUUUCCAAAGCCCCAUAACCUAAUACCCGGGUAUUACCUUCAGGAAGCCCGAAAACCACAAAUAUUUUUUUUUCUUUUUUCUUUUUUUUGUUAAACUACCUCCAAAAGCUUGGAAAAGAGUUCCUCCAAAGGUUUUGGACAUUGAUAUUAACCCUAACGCCAAAAACCUAAAACCUAACCCUAGCCCCAUAACCUAAUACCUGGGUAUUACCUUCAGGAAGCCCGAAAACCCCAAAUAUUUUCUUUUCAUUUUUGAUUCUUUUUUGGUCUAACUCCAAAAGGUUGGAAAAGAGUUCCUACAAAGGUUUUGGACAAGGAUUUUAACCCUUACGCCAAAAACCUUAAACCUUACCCUAGCCCCAAAACCUAAUACCCGGGGAUGACCUUCAGGAAGCCCGAACACCCCAAAUAUUUUUAUUUCAUUUUUCAUUUUUUUUGGUCUAACUAACUCCAAAAGGUUGGAAAAGAGUUCCUACAAAGGUUUUGGACAGUGAUAUUAACCCUUACGCCAAAAACCUUAAACCUUACCAUAGUCCCAUAACCUAAUAGGUCCUUCAGGAAGCCCGAACACCCCAAAUAUUUUGUUUCAUUUUACAUUUUUUUUUUGUUUAACCAACAGCAAAAGGUCUGAAACAUGUUCCUAAAAAGGUUUUGGACAGUGAUUUUAACCCUAAUCCAAAAACCUUAACCAUUACCAUAGCCCCAUAACCUAAUACCGGGGUAUUACCUUCAGGAAGCCUGAACACCCCAAAUAUUUUUUUUUCAUUUUACAUUUUUUUUUGGUGUAACUGACUCCAAAAGGUUGGAAAAGAGUUCCUACUAUGGCUUUGGACAGUGAUUUUAACCCUCACGCCAAAAACCUUAAACCUUACCUUAGCCCCAAAACCUAAUACCCGGGUAUUACCUUCAGGAUGCCCGAACACCCCAAAUAUAUAUUUUUUUAUUUUUCAUGUUUUUUUGGUCUAACUAACUCCAAAAGCUUGGAAAAGAGUUCCUCCAAAGGUUUUGGACAUUGAUUUUAACCCUAACGCCAAAAACCUAAAACGUUACCCUAGCCCCAUAACCUAAUACCUGGGUAUUACCUUCAGGAAGCCCGAACACCCCAAAUAUUUUUUUUUCAUUUUUCAUUUUUUUUGGGUGUAACUAACUCCAAAAGCUUGGAAAAGAGUUCCUACAAAGGUUUUGGACAGUGAUUUUAACCCUAACGCCAAAAACCUUAAACCUUUCCAAAGCCCCAGAAACUGAUUCCCGGGUAUUGCCUUCAGGAAGCCCGAAAACCCCAAAUAUUUUUUUUUCAUUUUUCAUUUUUCUUUGGUCUCACUUACUCCAAAAGGUUGGAAAAGAGUUCCUACAAAGGUUUUGGACAAUAAUUUUAACCCUACCGCCAAAAAACGGAACCCUUACCAUCGCCCCAUAACCUAAUACCCGGGUAUUACCUUCAGGAAGCCCGAACACCCAAAAUAUUUAUUUUUCAUUUUACAUUUUUUUUUGGUGUAACCAACUCCAAAAGGUCUGAAACAUGUUCCUAAAAAGGUUUUGGACAGUUAUUUUAACCCUAUCGCCAAAAACCUUAAACCUUUCCUAAGCCCCAUAACCUAAUACCCGGGUAUUACCUCCAGGAAGCCUGAAAAGCCCAAAUAUAUUUUUUUCUUUUUUCUUUUUUUUUGGUCUAACUAACUCCGAAAGCUUGGAAAAGAGUUCCUCCAAAGGUUUUGGACAUUGAUUUUAACCCUAACGCCAAAAACCUAAAACCUUACCCUAGCCCCAUAACCUAAUACCCGGGUAUUACCUUCAGGAAGCCCGAAAACCCCAAAUUUAUUUUUUCUUUUUUCUUUUUUUUUUUGGUCUAACUAACUCCAAAAGGUUGGAAGAGAGUUCCUACAAAGGUUUUGGACAGUGGUUUUAACCCUAACGCCAAAAACCUUAAACCUUACCAUAGUCCCAGAACCUAAUAGGUCCUUCAGGAAGCCUGAACAACCCAAAUAUUUUUUUUCAUUUAACAUUUUCUUUUGGUGUAACCAACUCCAAAAGGUCUGAAACAUGUUCCUAAAAAGGUUUUGGACAGUUAUUUUAACCCUAUCGCCAAAAACCUUAAACCUUUCCUAAGCCCCAUAACCUAAUACCCGGGUAUUACCUCCAGGAAGCCUGAAAACCCCAAAUGUAUUUUUUUCUUUUUUCUUUUUUUUUUGGUCUAACUGACUCCAAAAGGUUGGAAAAGAGUUCCUACAAAGGUUUUGGACAUUGAUUUUAACCCUAACGCCAAAAACCUAAAACCUUACCCUAGCCCCAUAACCUAAUACCCGGGUAUUACCUUCAGGAAGCCCGAACACCCCAAAUAUAUUUAUUUCAUUUUUCAUUUUUUUUUGGUCUAACUAACUCCAAAAGCUUGGAAAAGAGUUCCUACAAAGGUUUUGGACAGUGAUAUUAACCCUAACGCCAGAAACCUUAAACCUUUCCAAAGCCCCAGAAACUGAUUCCCGGGUAUUGCCUUCAGGAAGCCCGAAAACCCCAAAUAUUUUUUUUUCAUUUUUCAUUUUUUUUUGGUCUAACUAACUCCAAUAGGUUGGAAAAGAGUUCCUACAAAGGUUUUGGACAAAAAUUUUAACCCUACCGCCAAAAAACUGAACCCUUACCAUCGCCCCAUAACCUGAUACCCGGGUAUUACCUUCAGGAAGCCCGAACACCCCAAAUAUUUUUUUUUUCAUUUUUCUUUUUUUUUUUGGUCUAACUAACUCCAAAAGGUUGGAAAAGAGUUCCUACAAAGGUUUUGGACAUUGAUUUUAACCCUAACACCAAAAACCUUAAAUGUUUCAUAAGCCCCAUAACCUAAUACCCGGGUAUUACCUUCAGGAAGCCCGAACACCCCAAAUAUUUUUUUUUUCAUUUUUCAUUUUUUUUGGUCUCACUAACUCCAAAAGCUUGGAAAAGAGUUCCUACAAAGGUUUUGGACAGUGAUUUUAACCCUAAUGCCAAAAACCUCAAACCCCAAAUAAUUUUUUUUUUCCAUUUUUCAUUUUUUUGGUCUAACUAACUCCAAAAGGUCUGAAAACAGUUCCAACAAAGGUUUUGGACAGUGAUUUUAACCUUAACGCCAAAAACCUUAAACCUUACCAUAACCCCUUAACCAAAUACCCGGGUAUUACCUUCAGGAAGCCUGAACACCCCGUAUAUUUUUUAUUUCAUUUUUCUUUUUUUGUUUGGUCUAACUUACUCCAUAAGGUUGGAAAAGAGUUCCUACAAAGGUUUUGGACAUUGAUUUUAACCCUAACGCCAAAAACCUCAAACCUUACCCUAGCCCCAAAACCUAAUACCAAUGUAUUACCUUCAGGAAGCCCGAACACCCCAAAUACUUUUUUUUCAUUUUUCAUUUUUUUGGUCUAACUAACUCCAAAAGGUUGGAAAACAGUUGCUACAAAGGUUUUGGACAGUGAUUUUAACCCUAACGCCAAAAACCUUAAAACUUACCAUAGCCCCAUAACUUAAUACCCGGGUAUUACCUUCAGGAAGCCCGAACACCCCAAAUAUUUUUUUUUCAUUUUACAUUUUUUUUUGGUGUAACUAACUCCAAAAGGUCUGAAACAUUUUCCUAAAAAGGUUUUGGACAUUGAUUUUAACCGUAACGCCAAAAACUUUAAACCUCACCCUAGCCCCCAUAACGUAUUACCUUCAGGAAGCCCGAAACCCCCCAAUUUUUUUUUUUCUUUUUUCUUUUUUUUUUUGGUCUAACUAACUCCAAAAGGUUGGAAAAGAGUUCCUACAAAGGUUUUGGACAGUGAUUUUAACCCUAACGCCAAAAACCUUAAACCUUACCAUAGCCCCAUAACCUGAUAUCCGGGUAUUACCUUCAGGAAGCCCGAACACCCCAAAUAUAUAUUUUUUAUUUUUCAUCUUUUUUUUGUUCUGACUAACUCCAAAAGGUUGGAAAAGAGUUCCUACAAAGGUUUUGGGAAGUGAUUUUAACCCUAACGCCAAAAACCUUAAACCUUUCCAAAGCCCCAUAACCUGAUAUCCGGGUAUUACCUUCAGGAAGCCCGAACACCCCAAAUAUAUAUUUUUUAUUUUUCAUCUUUUUUUGUUCUGACUAAUUCCAAAAGGUUGGAAAAGAGUUCCUACAAAGGUUUUGGGAAGUGAUUUUAACCCUAACACCAAAAACCUUAAACCUUUCCAAAGCCCCAUAACCUAAUACCCAUGUAUUACCUUCAGGAAGCCCGAACACCCCAAAUAUUUUUUUUUCAUUUUACAUUUUUUUUGGUGUAACUAACUCCAAAAGGUCUGAAACAUGUUCCUAAAAAGGUUUUGGACAGUGAUUUUAAUCCUAACGCCAAAAAACUUAAGCCUUUCCAAAGCCCCAUAACCUAAUACCCGGGUAUUACCUUCAGGAAGCCCGAAAACCCCAAAUAUUUUUUUUUCCUUUUUUCUUUUUUUUUUGGUCUAACUAACUCCAAAAGGUUGGAAAAGAGUUCCUACAAAGGUUUUGGACAGUGAUUUUAACCCUAACGCCAAAAACCUUAAACCUUACCAUAGCCCCAUAACCUGAUACCCGGGUAUUACCUUCAGGAAGCCCGAACACCCCAAAUAUUUUUUUUUCAUUUUUUUUGGUUUAACCAACUGCAAAAGCUCUGAAACAUGUUCCCAAAGGUUUUGGACAGUGAUUUUAACCCUAACGCCAAAAACCUUAAACCUUACCCUAGCCCCAUAACCUAAUACCCGGGUAUUACCUUCAGGAAGCCCGAAAACCCCAAAUUAAUUUUUUCUUUUUUCUUUUUUUUUUUGGUCUAACUAACUCCAAAAGGUUGGAAGAGAGUUCCUACAAAGGUUUUGGACAGUGGUUUUAACCCUAACGCCAAAAACCUUAAACCUUACCAUACUCCCAGAACCUAAUAGGUCCUUCAGGAAGCCUGAACACCCCAAAUUUUUUUUUUCAUUUAACAUUUUUUUUUGGUGUAACCAACUCCAAAAGGUCUGAAACAUGUUCCUAAAAAGGUUUUGGACAGUUAUUUUAACCCUAUCGCAAAAAACCUUAAACCUUUCCUAAGCCCCAUAACCUAAUACCCGGGUAUUACCUCCAGGAAGCCUGAAAACCCCAAAUGUAUUUUUUUCUUUUUUCUUUUUUUUUGGUCUAACUGACUCCAAUAGGUUGGAAAAGAGUUCCUACAAAGGUUUUGGACAAUAAUUUUAACCCUACCGCCAAAAAACGGAACCCUUACCAUCGCCCCAUAACCUAAUACCCGGGUAUUACCUUCAGGAAGCCCGAACACCCAAAAUAUUUAUUUUUCAUUUUACAUUUUUUUUUGGUGUAACCAACGGCAAAAGGUCUGAAACAUGUUCCUAAAAAGGUUUUGGACAGUUAUUUUAACCCUAUCGCCAAAAACCUUAAACCUUUCCUAAGCCCCAUAACCUAAUACCCGGGUAUUACCUCCAGGAAGCCUGAAAACCCCAAAUAUAUUUUUUUCUUUUUUCUUUUUUUUUGUCUAACUAACUCCGAAAGCUUGGAAAAGAGUUCCUCCAAAGGUUUUGGACAUUGAUUUUAACCCUAACGCCAAAAACCUAAAACCUUACCCUAGCCCCAUAACCUAAUACCCGGGUAUUACCUUCAGGAAGCCUGAACAACCCAAAUAUUUUUUAUUUAAUUUUUCAAUUUUUUUUUUGGUCUAACUAACUCCGAACUGUUGGAAAAGAGUUCCUACAAAGGUUUCGGAUAGUGAUUUUAACCCUAAUGCCAAAAACCUUAAACCUAAACCUAGCCCCAUAACCUAAUACCUGGGUAUUACCUUCAGGAAGCCCGAAAACCCAAAAUAUUUUCUUUUCAUUUUUCAUUCUUUUUUGGUCUAACUCCAAAAGGUUGGAAAAGAGUUCCUACAAAGGUUUUGGACAGGGAUUUUAACCCUUACGCCAAAAACCUUAAACCUUACCCUAGCCCCAAAACCUAAUACCCGAGGAUGACCUUCAGGAAGCCCGAACACCCCAAAUAUUUUUAUUUCAUUUUUCAUUUUUUUUGGUCUAACUAACUCCAAAAGGUUGGAAAAGAGUUCCUACAAAGGUUUUGGACAGUGGUUUUAACCCUAACGCCAAAAACCUUAAACCUUACCAUAGUCCCAUAACCUAAUAGGUCCUUCAGGAAGCCCGAACACCCCAAAUAUAUUUUUUUCAUUUUACUUUUUUUUUUGGUUUAACCAAUUGCAAAAGGUCUGAAACAUGUUCCUAAAAAGGUUUUGGACAGUGAUUUUAACCCUAAUCCAAAAACCUUAACCCUUACCAUAGCCCCAUAACCUAAUACCGGGGUAAUAUCUUCAGGAAGCCCGAACACCCCAAAUAUUUUUUUUUCAUUUUACAUUUUUUUUGGUCUAACUAACUCCAAAAGGUUGGAAAAGAGUUCCUACAAAGGCUUUGGACAGUGAUUUUAACCCUAACGCCAAAAACCUCAAACCUUACCCUAGCCCCAUAACCUAAUACCCGGGUAUUACCUUCAGGAAGCCUGAAAACCCCAAAUAUUUUUUUUUCAUUUUACAUUUUUUUUUUUGGUCUACCUAACUCCAAAAGGUUGGAAAAGAGUUCCUACAAAGGUUUUGGACAGUGGUUUUAACCCUAACGCCAAAAACCUUAAACCUUACCAUAGUCCCAUAACCUAUUAGGUCCUUCAGGAAGCCCGAACACCCCAAAUAUAUUUUUUUCAUUUUACAUUUUUUUUUGGUUCAACCAACAGCAAAAGGUCUGAAACAUGUUCCUAAAAAGGUUUUCGAAAGUGAUUUUAACCCUAAUCCAAAAACCUUAACCCUUACCAUAGCCCCAUAACCUAAUACCGGGGUAUUACCUUCAGGAUGCCCGAACACCCCAAAUAUAUAUUUUUUUAUUUUUCAUGUUUUUUUGGUCUAACUAACUCCAAAGGCUUGGAAAAGAGUUCCUCCAAAGGUUUUGGACAUUGAUUUUAACCUUAACGCCAAAAACCUAAAACCUUACCCUAGCCCCAAAACCUAAUACCGGGGUAUUACCUUCAGGAUGCCCGAACACCCCAAAUAUAUAUUUUUUUAUUUUUCAUGUUUUUUUGGUCUAACUAACUCCAAAAGGUUGGAAAAGAGUUCCUACAAAGGCUUUGGACAGUGAUUUUAACCCUAACACAUAAAAAAUUUAAACCUUACCAAAGCCCCAUAAUCUAAUACCCGGGUAUUACCUUAAGGAAGCCCGAACACCCCAAAUAUAUAUAUUUUUUUUUCAUCUUUUUUUUGGUCUAACGAACUCCGAAAUGUUGGAAAAGAGUUCCUACAAAGGUUUUGGACAGUGAUUUUAACCCUAAUGCCAAAAACCCUAAAACUUUCCAAAGCCCCAUAACCUAAUACCCGGGUAUUACCUUCAGGAAGCCCGAACACCCCAAAUAUUUUUUUUUCAUUUUUUUGGUUUAACCAAAUGCAAAAGGUCUGAAACAUGUUCCUAAAAAGGUUUUGGACAGUGAUUUUAACCCUAAUGCCAAAAACCUUAAACCUUACCUUAGCCCCAUAACCUAAUACCCGGGUAUUACCUUCAGGAAGUCCGAAAACCCCAAAUUUCUUUUUUUCUUUUUUAUUUUUUUUUUGGUCUAACUAACUCCAAAAGGUUGGAAAAGAGUUCCUACAAAGGUUUUGGACAGUGAUUUUAACCCGAAUGCCAAAAACCUUAAACCUUACCAUAGCCCCAUAACCUAAUACCCGGGUAUUACCAUAAGGAAGCCCAAACACCCCAAAUAUAUAUAUAUUUUUUUUCGUCUUUUUUUUGGUCUAACGAACUCCGAAAUGUUGGAAAAGAUUUCCUACAAAGGUUUUGGACAGUGAUUUUAACCCUAAUGCCAAAAACCCUAAAACUUUCCAAAGCCCCAUAACCUAAUACC